rnacentral:rRNA from 1 species
UCAGGUGGUUUUAGCGUUGGGGAUCCACCUCUUCCCAUUCCGAACAGAGAAGUUAAGCCCAACCACGCCGAUGGUACUGCGUAUAGUGGGAGAGUAGGUAGCUGCCGUUUU